CUUGAUAAUAUUCCGAAUAUAAAAAAGGUGACUUAUUUAAUUCCUCACAUUCAAGUUUCGAACGUUAAUCUGAAACUCUUUCUAUUUGAUUUUUUUUUAAUUUCCAAAAAGUAUUAUGAGGCUGUAUAUAUUUUUGUCUGCGCUAAUAGCUGCUAUUGUGAUAGUAGAAUGUACGCACACGUUUAUGGGCACAAAUGUAUCCAGGCAAUUAGUGUAUCAUAAGAAUGCGCAUUACAGCUCCAAGUUUUUGAGUAAACGCGUUGAAAAUAUCACCAUUUCCGUUCCACCUUCAUACGGAUACAGGCGUACUAUUCAGGGUAUCCUCGCCUAUGAUCUGACUAACUCAAGCGCGUCAGCCAACGUGACAGCGGGUGGACUCGGCUACUCCUUCGUCACGCUGCGUAUGAAAAGCGCGCGCGGAAAUGAAAUUAAUUACGAUAUCAACAUUUUCGCCUAAUUUAGAUGUUAGAUGGUCACGAAAAUAAACGCAUACAGCAAUUAGAA